UUGUUUUCAGUUUCCAGAUGGUGCUGGAGUUUGUCAGGUGUGCUGGGUGACAGGUGCAACUGAUCUGCUGAUUGCAUGGAGGAGUGUUUAAGCAGGAGGUUGCCAGCACUUUGACGCCAGAGUGUUUGUCUACAGUGGUAACAAGCUCAGCCACUACUAAGCUAUGCUUUGUUCUAAGCUGACUUUGUGGAUGUUCCUUUGCAGGCUAAAACCUGAACCUUUUGAUUACUUUGCUGAACAUUGACUUCGGUUCCAGACGUUUUCUGGACAAUCAAGAUUACCUACGUCUUGUGGAUUUUGUUCCCAAGGACCAAGCUGGCAGCUUUCUGUUUUCCUUUGUCUCCUGAACCAAGGCAUGAGCGUACCCUGUCCACCCUCCAGCGCAAAUACCUGUACAUUGAACUAACUCCUGAUCUCACCACAGCUCAUUCAACAGCACCAGUGAAGCCAUCUGGAUUACUCCGUCUUGCAAGCCUGGACCCCGAAUCCCUCUACCCCUGGUGACCUGACUGCACUUAUUUAUUGGCAAUUCACCCGUUCACGUUCCAGACUCACUUGCUGUAAAUAAAACACCUUUUACUGA